AUGCUACCUCAUAUGUAUGGUCCUUUCACUAUUGAUUCUUGCUUGCAUAUUAUGUGUAUAUUAGAAAUUAAGUUCCCCUGGUUAGAAGUAACUAUAGAUUCAUGUUUUCCAAAACUAUUCAGGGAAGUUAUUUUGUUUGUCUGUCGAAGUGUUGGGAUUUGUAAUUCCGUGGAAGAGGCAGAGGGCGCAUGGGGUCUGGUUGGGUUGGAAGAAAUGGCAGCGAUUUACGAUGGCCCGGUGAUGACUGAGACCUACUUCGCUGCUCUGGUAAAAAACUUCUGCUUGAGCUCCAAUCCCGGUCGGCUGGAUACCCUUUAA
rnacentral:rRNA from 1 species